ACGGAGGGUGCGAGCGUUGUCCGGAAUCACUGGGCGUAAAGGGCGCGUAGGUGGCUCGUUAAGUUGCCGGUGAAAUCCCGGGGCUCAACUCCGGGGCUGCCGGUAAGACUGGCGGGCUCUAGCACGGUAGAGGCAGAUGGAAUUCCCGGUGUAGCGGUGGAAUGCGUAGAGAUCGGGAAGAACACCAGUGGCGAAGGCGGCGCCCUGGACCAACACUGACACUGAUGAGCGAAAGCCAGGGGAGCAAACGGGA
rnacentral:rRNA from 1 species